AGCAACUCAAGAAGGGGAAGACAGGCAACCUGCAUUAAUAAUAUAAAAUUUAAAAUCUUCAUUCAAGCCUGGGAAAACAAGUCCUUCCCUCCACCUUCCCACUCCCACUCCUGGAUGCACAGGGGUCCUGUGGUGCUUGGUAAUGGUGCCUGCAUCACAGUAAAUUUCCUUUUAAACUUGACUUUUAUAAACAGGAAAGCCCUGGCUGGACCUUGACACCUACAGGCACCAAGGAGAUUGAAGCCACAGGAUGUGUGACUCCUGCAUCCCAUCCCUGUACUCAGGAGGAGACUCCCAAGAGGGGCAGCUGAACAGGAGGAAGGGACACCAGCCUGGAACUGGGAAUGUGUGGUUCUGACCUGGGGGUGCUGGUCCACUAAUGCCCAUCAUGAUAACAACAGCAGUGAAUGGGAACAGCACAGUUAUUGAAUACUGUGCCCAAAGCUCUUUCUGCUUACAUCCAAAGAAGAAUUCACUGAAGUAAGCACCAUCACUCCCAUUUCAUAGGUGACAAAACUGAAGCCAGAGAGGUUCAGUAACUGUUCAAGUUCACACAGCCAGAAGAUGGGGGACCUAGACUAACUCUGACUUCACUGAGGUGAAGUCCAACCUUGUAACUACUCUUUGGUACCAUCCAGCUGUGGGACCUAGCUGAAACCAAACUUAAUUUUGGUUGAUCGAAACCUAACAAUAAAUGUUGAAACCACAAAAAGAACUUGAAGAAAACUAGAAAAAAUGAGAAACAUACUUUUGAAGGUAGGGCUAUCCUUUUAAGCAAGAUAUGAAACCAAUAAGUACUAAAAAAAACUUUUGAUACCUUUGAGUUCAUGAAAUAACAUUUUCGACUCCUGGGUAAAAUAAACUGUAAUAGAUUUAAUGGAAUUCUUACAAAAUUCCAGUAAGAUUUUUCACAGAAAAAAAAAUUCUCCAAAAAAUUUGUAUGGAAUCAGAAAAGACCCCAAAUAGCAAAAGCAAAAAGAAUAAAACUGAAUCUCACUCCCUGAUUUGAAAAUACAAUGUUAUUGAAAUUGAAACAGCAGGGUAUUGGCACAAAAACAGACACAUUGACCAAUGGAAAAAAAAGAAAUUCCAUAAAUAAACCCAAUGUUUACAGUCAGUUGAUGUGAUGUUUGACAAAUGUGCUAAGAAUAUACAUCGGGGAAAGGACAGUGUGUUCAGUAAAUGCAUAUGGGAAGAUGGGAGGAAUAGAGGAACUUUAGACAGGGCAAAGG
rnacentral:lncRNA from 1 species